UUAGGAAUAUUGGACAAUGGACGCAAGUCUGAUCCAGCCAUGCCGCGUGAGCGAUGAAGGCCUUCGGGUUGUAAAGCUCUUUAGCCGACGAUUAUAAUGACUGUAGUCGGAGAAUAAGCCCCGGCUAACUUCGUGCCAGCAGCCGCGGUAAUACGAAGGGGGCGAGCGUUGUUCGGAAUCACUGGGCGUAAAGGGUGCGUAGGCGGUUUUGUAAGUUGGAAGUGAAAUCCCGAGGCUCAACCUCGGAACUGCUUUCAAAACUACAUUACUUGAAUCCGGGAGAGGAUAGCGGAAUUUCCAGUGUAGUAGUAAAAUACGUAGAUAUUGGAAGGAACACCAGUGGCGUAGGCGGCUAUCUGGACCGGUAUUGACGCUGAGGCACGAAAGCGUGGGGAUCAAA
rnacentral:rRNA from 1 species